rnacentral:rRNA from 1 species
ACAUGCAAGUCGAACGGCAGCACGGAGAGCUUGCUCUCUGGUGGCGAGUGGCGAACGGGUGAGUAAUAUAUCGGAACGUGUCCAAUAAUGGGGGAUAACGAGUCGAAAGAUUCGCUAAUACCGCAUACGCCCUACGGGGGAAAGCAGGGGAUCGUAAGACCUUGCGUUAAUGGAGCGGCCGAUAUCUGAUUAGCUUGUUGGUGAGGUAAAGGCUCACCAAGGCGACGAUCAGUAGCUGGUUUGAGAGAACGACCAGCCACACUGGAACUGAGACACGGUCCAGACUCCUACGGGAGGCAGCAGUGGGGAAUUUUGGACAAUGGGGGCAACCCUGAUCCAGCCAUUCCGCGUGAGUGAAGAAGGCCUUCGGGUUGUAAAGCUCUUUCGCAAGGGAAGAAAACUUAUGAUCGAAUAAAUCAUGAGGUUGACGGUACCUUGAUAAGAAGCACCGGCUAACUACGUGCCAGCAGCCGCGGUAAUACGUAGGGUGCGAGCGUUAAUCGGAAUUACUGGGCGUAAAGCGUGCGCAGGCGGUUUUGUAAGUCGGAUGUGAAAUCCCCGGGCUCAACCUGGGAACUGCGUUCGAAACUGCAAGGCUAGAGUGUGUCAGAGGGGGGUAGAAUUCCACGUGUAGCAGUGAAAUGCGUAGAGAUGUGGAGGAAUACCAAUGGCGAAGGCAGCCCCCUGGGAUAACACUGACGCUCAUGCACGAAAGCGUGGGGAGCAAACAGGAUUAGAUACCCUGGUAGUCCACGCCCUAAACGAUGUCAACUAGUUGUUGGUAGAGUAAAAUCUAUGAGUAACGUAGCUAACGCGUGAAGUUGACC